UGUUAUCGCUUUGUGUCAUCUUAUCAACAAACAAGUUUGUUCAUUUUCGCUGCUCGUUUCGUGUUUCCCCCGGUUGGCACGGGGUAGGGAAAAAUCAGAGCAAAAAAAAACUUUUACCUACGUGAUUCUACCGCCGAGUUUUAGUUUCAUACGUGCGUGCGUUCGUGUGUCCGUGUUGGUCCCGGUGCUUCAUCCAUCAUUUUCCGGUCUCAAGGGUUCGAAACGUCUUGGCAGAUUCUCAGUUUGAAGGAGCGAGAGAGAGAGGCAAAAACACACUCAGAAACCCACAUUUAUUGGCCUUGAUUCUGCAUAAUUUCAUCAUUACGAGCCGCCGCAAUCACAUUUCGCCUCAAUCAUCAUCGGUUCUAAUCUAACAAAUCCCAGUAUCCGGACCCUUCUCGUUCGGGACCCUGACGCGGCAUCGUAAAUCUAACGAAAUAAACGGGUUAUUUGUUGUGUCGCCGUCGUCGCCAAUAUGAACCACCAGAACUAUGUGCGAAAAUGUGAAGAGUAUUUGCAAAAUAUUCCGGCCACCGGCCAAAAGCGAAAUGCUGACAGUGGACGACGGCCGAUAACGGCUGUCGGUGCCGGUCAAUAUCCAUCAUCCCGCAAGUUGACCCAGCCAGCGUCGUCGAUUAUUGGCCAGCGCCGGCUAGAAAAACAGCCAAUCAAUAAUGCUGUAGCCGGCAGUGGCGUCACUGGAUAUUCGCCAUUGACUGGCAAAGGUAGACAAAGGCCUUUGCCUCCCGGUACCAACAUCGGAAGCUCGGCGGAGGGAGGACAAAAGCAGACCGAAAGACAAUCGGGUUCCAAAUUUGUUCGGUCCUGCUGUCGCCAACUGCGUCCCAGCACUGCUAGUGCUGCUGGCAAGGACAGAAAUCCGCGGGAUAAUCAGGGAAGAGAAAAAGUCACCGAUAGUGUCAAUCAGGCUGACAAUAUCAAACCGAUGGAAAGUGACGCGGAUUAUGAUGGAGCAGUAAAUCUCGGUACGGACGCGGAGAUUCCCCAGUCGGAAAGAAGCGGUGGCGCCGUAGCAGAGAUUUGGAGCGGAAUUCUGCAGCCGACACCGGCGGCAUCCGUAAUAGAAAAGUCCGUUCCGAUAGCAGCAUUUCCCACGAGGCGCACUUCGCUAUCGUCGUCCUCUCGGCCCACCAGUUCCGUGGCAGCCAUUCCACCCCAGCCGAGGCCAUCGGUUGCUACCUUGACUCCUGGUCAACAGCAGCGGCAGAACGGGCGCAGAUCACCCACACUGGAAGGGAUUAAUUUAUUCCAUUUCGAUCCACUGCGGACACUCCAGUUCCUGACACUGGAGCUCAAAUCGAAGCUGAAGGAGCACUGUCCAGAGCACAAGCAACUUUAUAAAAUCUCCAAAGAGCUGCUGUACGCGUUGAAAAUCUUAACGGAGAGUCUUACCAGCGACGGACCGCCAAAGAAGUCACCCGCAAGCUGUGCGAACUGCGAGAAGGCAUUGCUACGCGUCUCAUGCCGGGACGUUGCCAUCCAGUCGACGGAAAUCCCCCCCGCUGAGCCAUUGGAAUCGGUAACCAAUCAAAAACAACAGCAACUACAGCAAGAAGAACAUUUGGAGCGGGAAAUAGAGCGAUUGCAAGCGUUGAUAAAUGACAAGCAAACGGCGGAGGGCGGUCUUAUCGCCGAUCUUAAUCGGAAGCUGCAGGAAGCCACCAGUCGCUGCCACCGUCUCAGUCAAGCCCGGGAAGAUGCCGAGAAGCGGUUACUCUACACAACCCUUGAAAACGAACGGCUGAACUUUCUGGUGAGCACCCAAUCAUCGACCAUGACCAGUUUGCGGAGCGAUUUCAGUAGCAUUCAAACACUGGCUAACCAGCAAAUCGACUUACUGGAUCGAACCCGAAGCCCCACACCACCGAGUGCUCUCGAUGGCAUCGACAGCGUCCGAAGUACCACUUGGCCAAAGAAAGCAAACGCCAGCACCAAUAAUCACCAUCGCAAUUAUCGUCACCCUUCCGGUGGUAUUCCCCGCAUCCUGUCGCUCCAUUACAGUGAGCCAAAUUGCGCCAUCAACAGCACCGUCACCGCAGAACGACAGCAAAAACUAGCAUCUGGGCCCGUAAAUGCCAGGAAGCUACGGCAUCAUUAUAGCUUUAAAAAUAUCGCUGAAAAAGAAAGUGACGACGGUAAUGAUGCUAACGACUCCAAACUACUGAACGAAGGGAUUACACCGGCUUUCGACGGUGUAAAAACCCACUCAAACGACUACCGCCGGCAACAACGGUGCCAUCAAGGAAGCGGCUUCAGUGAUAGUGCUGAUGCAUUCCAUCAGCAGGAGCCGGGCCGAAAUCGUCAACCACAUCAGCAGCGGAAAAACGAACCCCGGCUCGAAGCGCAGUCGACGUCGUCAUCUUCAACGGCGACGAUUUUCCUUCCUUCAUUGAUAGGCUCAUCCGACGACGGUUCCAGCUCAGCGAGGCGUGCAAUUUUGAUUGAUUCCGAUUUGGAACCGUCGUCGGAGCCCCCGGCCGCAGGGGACACCAUCGCAAGCAGUCACGGUAACGUUCGGCCGAAUACUUCCAGCGCUGAGCAGCCAUCAGCGUUGUGCCCCAUUCCUGCACAACUCGCUGCUUCUUCCCCGGCUGCUUCCGUCAAGACUAAUGACUGCGACAGACUGGGUCGGAAGCCGAUUCAGGACCUAAAUCAACGACAGUCACCGCAUCUAGGGCUGGAUCAGUCUUCGGAGGCAACCGAAAUGAAUACUUUUCACAGCGACGGAGGCAAAUACCGAAGGGAUUAUGGUGAUAAAUUUGAGCUGCGUGAAAGUUGUUUGCCAGCGGGAGAAAAGAAGCUUUGCCAAAAUCGCCCGAUAAUAGGUCAGAUUAGAGACGGAGACCGAAAACGAGAAUUGAUGCUACAACAACAGCAGCAGCAGCAGUUUCAGGCCGGAGGGCGGCCGGGCAACGACGACGGGCUGAUGACUAGCGGGAAGACUAUCUGUGCCGCUGACGAACCCGCUUGCGCCCGGAAGGAGGAGUUUUCUAUUGACUUUGGACCGCCAUAGAGAAAUCCAGUCCAAAUCUGAUCCGCUGCUUCUACGGAGACAAAGACUUCUGCCGGGAGCGUCUGUGUACAAACGGGAAUGACGACGGCGGAUGCCUCCAUAAGUUUAGCCAGGCAGCCCUGGGAUACGUGCCGUGAUAUCAUAUCACCUUCAUCAUCGUUUUGCCGGCGCCUAGCCUAGAUACGAAGCUCCGCCAUAGCCGAUGAUAUAACGCUUCCCUCUUCACCGGCACCGUUUAGUGGUGGAUGUCUGGCGAUGAUUGAUAGUGGAACUAUUCUGGACGA